ACACAAUUGCCUUCAAGGCUUCGCACUUCAACUUUCUUAGGCCUGGAGGUCCUGUAGAAGAAACAACCAUAUUUUUAAGAGCUACAAGAUACAGAUCAAGAAUAGAAACAAGGCACAGAAACAAGCAAUCCAUGGCGGAAACCUUGAAGCGACAAAUGUUUCUGAACUCAGAUGAGAGAAGUUUGAGUCUAGCCAAUUAAACCAACUACCACUGAUUCACAUGAUAGGAAGUAUUCACACAAAACUCCAGCUGUUCCACUUGUAUCAAGUGAAAUCUCCGAAUUUUAUGCAAUAUAUGAACCAGAAGUAGCACGAGAGGAAAUAAGGGGAUCCCUCGCUGACUUCAAAAGACAUGAGUGACUCAGAUCAAAAACUUGCAUGAGAUUAUUUUACUCUUGGCAAUUUUAAGAGUUGCCCUUUCAGCACUUGGAAGUUACUUUGUGAUGAAUUAAAUACUUUAAUAUGAUGUAACCUAUAAAGAUGGACUGAACAAUAACAAUACAAAAAAAUGACAGCUAAAUUAUGAAGAGUCCUAAAAUUGACCCCUUUUGGCCUUAAUUAAUUGCGUGAAGCUGAAAUGAUUAAUCUAAAGUAAGAUAUACCGGUCUGUAGGCAAAAAAUGUAGUUGAAUGACCCAUACUUGAAUAACUCAAAAAAUGCACUCGCAUUUCAUGAAGCACACCUCACAACCUAGGUAAUCUUGAAUUACCUGUACCACUAAGGCCUGUAAUCCAAACAACACACCCUUUCUGCUUUAGUAGAUUUUGCCGGUCAGUCUUGCCCACUGGGCAAUCAUGCCACAAGAUAUAUGAUGACUCCAUAUGUUACUACCGAAUAUAUGUACCUGAACAGAGUUCAUCUUUUUGACUGUCAAGCUGCGAAGCAGUCUGAUCUUGGGGGUGCUGAGUGAGAGAGCGUCCAACACAGUAGCAUCGUCGUUGGCUCGUAUGAGCUUGAACUUUUCCUGGAAGCAUGACACAGGACAAAAUCAUCUUCUGUAAUGGCAAAUGUCACUGGCGUCAGCUGAUAUCACAAGAGAGCUACACUUUCAGACAUUCUAGAUGGACAACUGCAUAAAUAAAAAAUGAUGACACCUUCAGGAGUGCUCCUCUCAAUGGAAGCACAGCCAGCUCGGCUCCUAAUGCAUGGGAUACUCCUCUCCUUGGAAGCCCACCCAACUCGACUCCUAAUGCAUCGACAAAUUAUGAUCAUGCCAUAGGAAGGGGGGCACUCAGCAUGUCAAAAAAGAAGGCAGCAUCAAAUACUAUAGUAAUUAUUAUUGGACAUGAUAUAGUAAGGUACUCUCACUGGUUAUUGACUG
rnacentral:lncRNA from 1 species